CCCAGCAGUCAUAUCACCCUGCAACUCACAGCUGGCAGCCCACUGAAGCUAAGCAGGUGUGAGCCUGGGCAGUACCUGAAUGGGAAACCUCCUGGGAAAAACUAAGGUUGCUGCUGGAA
rnacentral:rRNA from 1 species